rnacentral:rRNA from 1 species
GACGAACGCUGGCGGCGUGCUUAACACAUGCAAGUCGAACGGAAAGGCCCUGCUUUCGUGGGGUGCUCGAGUGGCGAACGGGUGAGUAACACGUGAGUAACCUGCCCUUGACUUUGGGAUAACUUCAGGAAACUGGGGCUAAUACCGGAUAGGAGCUCCUGCUGCAUGGUGGGGGUUGGAAAGUUUCGGCGGUUGGGGAUGGACUCGCGGCUUAUCAGCUUGUUGGUGGGGUAGUGGCUUACCAAGGCUUUGACGGGUAGCCGGCCUGAGAGGGUGACCGGCCACAUUGGGACUGAGAUACGGCCCAGACUCCUACGGGAGGCAGCAGUGGGGAAUAUUGCACAAUGGGCGGAAGCCUGAUGCAGCAACGCCGCGUGCGGGAUGACGGCCUUCGGGUUGUGAACCGCUUUCGCCUGUGACGAAGCGUGAGUGACGGUAAUGGGUAAAGAAGCACCGGCUAACUACGUG